AAGCGGGGGAUAACAUUUGGAAACAAGUGCUAAUACCGCAUAAUUAGUUGGAACCGCAUGGUUCCAACUUGAAAGAUGGCUCUGCUAUCACUUUGGGAUGGACCCGCGCCGUAUUAGUUAGUUGGUGAGAUAAAAGCCCACCAAGACGAUGAUACGUAGCCGACCUGAGAGGGUAAUCGGCCACAUUGGGACUGAGACACGGCCCAGACUCCUACGGGAGGCAGCAGUAGGGAAUCUUCCACAAUGGACGAAAGUCUGAUGGAGCAACGCCGCGUGAGUGAUGAAGGUUUUCGGAUCGUAAAACUCUGUUGUUAAAGAAGAACAAGUGUUAGAGUAACUGUUAACACUUUGACGGUAUUUAACCAGAAAGCCACGGCUAACUACGUGCCAGCAGCCGCGGUAAUACGUAGGUGGCAAGCGUUGUCCGGAUUUAUUGGGCGUAAAGCGAGCGCAGGCGGUUUUGUAAGUCUGCUGUGAAAGCCCUCAGCUCAACUGAGGAAGUGCAGUGGAAACUACAAAACUUGAGUACAGAAGAGGAAAGUGGAACUCCAUGUGUAGCGGUGAAAUGCGUAGAUAUAUGGAAGAACACCAGUGGCGAAGGCGGCUUUCUGGUCUGUUACUGACGCUGAGGCUCGAAAGCAUGGGUAGCGAACAGGAUUAGAUACCCUGGUAGUCCAUGCCGUAAACGAUGAAUACUAGGUGUUGGAGGGUUUCCGCCCUUCAGUGCCGCAGCUAACGCAUUAAGUAUUCCGCCUGGGGAGUACGACCGCAAGGUUGAAACUCAAAGGAAUUGACGGGGGCCCGCACAAGUGGUGGAGCAUGUGGUUUAAUUCGAUGCUACGCGAAGAACCUUACCAGCUCUUGACAUCUUCUGCCAACCCAAGAGAUUGGGCGUUCCCUUCGGGGACAGAAUGACAGGUGGUGCAUGGUUGUCGUCAGCUCGUGUCGUGAGAUGUUGGGUUAAGUCCCGCAACGAGCGCAACCCUUAUUAUUAGUUGCCAGCAUUUAGUUGGGCACUCUAGUGAGACUGCCGGUGAUAAACCGGAGGAAGGUGGGGACGACGUCAAAUCAUCAUGCCCCUUAUGAGCUGGGCUACACACGUGCUACAAUGGAUGGUACAACGAGUCGCGAAACCGCGAGGUCAAGCUAAUCUCUUAAAGCCAUUCUCAGUUCGGAUUGCAGGCUGCAACUCGCCUGCAUGAAGUUGGAAUCACUAGUAAUCGUGGAUCAGCAUGCCACGGUGAAUACGUUCCCGGGCCUUGUACACACCGCCCGUCACACCAUGAGAGUUUGUAACACCC
rnacentral:rRNA from 2 species